rnacentral:rRNA from 1 species
GCAGUCGAGGGGUAUAUGUCUUCGGAUAUAGAGACCGGCGCACGGGUGCGUAACGCGUAUGCAAUCUACCUUUUACAGAGGGAUAGCCCAGAGAAAUUUGGAUUAAUACCUCAUAGUAUAGUGACUCGGCAUCGAGAUACUAUUAAAGUCACAACGGUAAAAGAUGAGCAUGCGUCCCAUUAGCUAGUUGGUAAGGUAACGGCUUACCAAGGCUACGAUGGGUAGGGGUCCUGAGAGGGAGAUCCCCCACACUGGUACUGAGACACGGACCAGACUCCUACGGGAGGCAGCAGUGAGGAAUAUUGGACAAUGGGCGCAAGCCUGAUCCAGCCAUGCCGCGUGCAGGAUGACGGUCCUAUGGAUUGUAAACUGCUUUUGUACGAGAAGAAACACUCCAACGUGUAGGAGCUUGACGGUAUCGUAAGAAUAAGGAUCGGCUAACUCCGUGCCAGCAGCCGCGGUAAUACGGAGGAUCCAAGCGUUAUCCGGAAUCAUUGGGUUUAAAGGGUCCGUAGGCGGUUUAGUAAGUCAGUGGUGAAAGCCCAUCGCUCAACGGUGGAACGGCCAUUGAUACUGCUAAACUUGAAUUAUUAGGAAGUAACUAGAAUAUGUAGUGUAGCGGUGAAAUGCUUAGAGAUUACAUGGAAUACCAAUUGCGAAGGCAGGUUACUACUAAUGGAUUGACGCUGAUGGACGAAAGCGUGGGUAGCGAACAGGAUUAGAUACCCUGGUAGUCCACGCCGUAAACGAUGGAUACUAGCUGUUGGAAGCAAUUUCAGUGGCUAAGCGAAAGUGAUA